GACGAACGCUGGCGGCGUGCUUAACACAUGCAAGUCGAACGGUAAGGCCCUUCGGGGUACACGAGUGGCGAACGGGUGAGUAACACGUGGGUGAUCUGCCCUGCACUUCGGGAUAAGCCUGGGAAACUGGGUCUAAUACCGGAUAGGACCAUUGCCUGCAUGGGUGGUGGUGGAAAGCUUUUGCGGUGUGGGAUGGGCCCGCGGCCUAUCAGCUUGUUGGUGGGGUGAUGGCCUACCAAGGCGACGACGGGUAGCCGGCCUGAGAGGGUGACCGGCCACACUGGGACUGAGAUACGGCCCAGACUCCUACGGGAGGCAGCAGUGGGGAAUAUUGCACAAUGGGCGCAAGCCUGAUGCAGCGACGCCGCGUGAGGGAUGACGGCCUUCGGGUUGUAAACCUCUUUCAGCACCGACGAAGCGCAAGUGACGGUAGGUGCAGAAGAAGGACCGGCCAACUACGUGCCAGCAGCCGCGGUAA
rnacentral:rRNA from 1 species